UCGCCGAGAUAGAGCAGGAUCGCCCCGGAUUCGAAGAUACUGACCGGCCUGCCGUGCGGGCCAUCGGGAUCGAUGAUGGCGGGAAUCUUGUUGUUCGGGCUGAUCUUGAGAAAAUCCGGCGCGAACUGCUCCUCUUUGGAAAUGUUGAUGGGAUGCACCUUGUAGGGCAGCCCCAUUUCCUCGAGUGCGAUGCUGAUCUU
rnacentral:misc_RNA from 1 species